GUGCUUAACACAUGCAAGUCGAACGGAAAGGCCCUUCGGGGUACUCGAGUGGCGAACGGGUGAGUAACACGUGGGUGAUCUGCCCUGCACUUUGGGAUAAGCCUGGGAAACUGGGUCUAAUACCGAAUAGGACCGCAUGCUUCAUGGUGUGUGGUGGAAAGCUUUUGCGGUGUGGGAUGGGCCCGCGGCCUAUCAGCUUGUUGGUGAGGUAAUGGCUUACCAAGGCGACGACGGGUAGCCGGCCUGAGAGGGUGACCGGCCACACUGGGACUGAGAUACGGCCCAGACUCCUACGGGAGGCAGCAGUGGGGAAUAUUGCACAAUGGGCGCAAGCCUGAUGCAGCGACGCCGCGUGAGGGAUGACGGCCUUCGGGUUGUAAACCUCUUUCGCCAGGGACGAAGCGCAAGUGACGGUACCUGGAGAAGAAGGACCGGCCAACUACGUGCCAGCAGCCGCGGUAAUACGUAGGGUCCGAGCGUUGUCCGGAAUUACUGGGCGUAAAGAGCUCGUAGGUGGUUUGUCGCGUUGUUCGUGAAAUC
rnacentral:rRNA from 1 species